UACCUCUUCACUCUUUCUCGUGACUCUCUGUAUUCUCACUAUCCCUCUCAUUCUCUAUACUCGAGGCCACAAACUUCGACGUCACCCACUUGCUUGCUCCACUGUCCUUCCACCACACAAGGUACUCCAAAUUCUCACCCUUACCUCUCCGUUCAAGAAUCUCCUGCACCUCUGCGUACUUAAAUAUCGUCCCUUCCAAAAUCCUAAUCACUCCUUUGAGUCUUGCAACGAAGAGGAGCACGAUGCGAUCGUUGGCAUCCACGGUGUUGUCGUUGUGGCCGUCGGUGGCUGCUAUUAGUUUAGUAGGUUGAGGUUUUUGUUUCUCUUGUCUUAGAAAGAGUGGAGAGUCAUGAUUGGGUACGCUCGUGGAAGGAGACAUUGUUUUCUCUACUUCAAGAUGUCCCACUUCACCUUUGCAAACACGUCUCCAUUUCUAUUGAUGGGACUUCUAUAACUAUUAUCAUUGUUGAUAGUGACACGGGAGAACCGUUGUGGAGACCUUUACUUCACUAUUGUGUUUUUCACAGCUAGGAGAUUUAUGUGUUUGUGUUGCAAUUUUGACCUUUGUUUUAUGUUUUGUUGUAGAUUGGCUAUGAUCCUGAGGUGGACUCAUAUCCUUCAUGGCUAGUCUCUCAACUCAUAUCCUGAGGAUUGUUAAUUGAAUGCAACACUAUUGCAGGAUUGCCGAUUUUGUGAUGGCAAACUCAGAUCCAGUUUUACCUACGAGCAAGAAGAACCACCCGUCAUGUAGCUUCUGGAAGUGGUUGUGGUUGUGAAUUUUGAGUAUGUUGAUGAGAGGAGGCAACACAAAAAAGAACAAUGGAGACACUUUAACAGUUCAAAAAGGACACAUUUGUAGGAGUUGUUAAGAGACAAGUAUCAAGAGGAUAAAGUUGAGGAGUUGUUAAGAGACAAGUAUCAAGAGGAUAAAGUUGAGGAGUUUAAUGCCUUGGGCAAGGGGAAGCCAAACCGAAAGUUGCUAUGUAACCCUUUUUUUUCUCAUAUUGCUGAAGAUAUAGCUUAUUCCUCUACAUUUGCAGAUGGUGUUCCAAAAGAAGGACUCCGAAUCCAAGAUGUACUUGUUAGGAUUGCACAUGUUCUGUGAGGAGUGUGUAUAUAUGAAUGGUCAAUUAAUAAUUUUAAUUUAUUUCUUGUUUGCACCUUUUAAAUUGAAAGGUUACUACAUAUUUAAGAGAAAUGAGCUAUAGGAUUCUAAAAGUAUUAGAUAAUUUUUUAAGGUGAACUAGCUCCCUGGCAAGAGUUUAUCCCAUAAGUUGCAUCAAUUAAUUCUGUAAAAAAUAAAUUCGAUAUAAUUUGUUGAUCUUGACUAUUUGUUUACA